rnacentral:rRNA from 1 species
AACUUGCUUCUAUGCGUUACGGCGGACGGGUGAGUACACGUGGGCACCUGCCUGUAAGACUGGGAUAACUUCGGGAAACCGAAGCUAAUACCGGAUAGGAUCUUCUCCUUCAUGGGAGAUGAUUGAAAGAUGGUUUCGGCUAUCACUUACAGAUGGGCCCGCGGUGCAUUAGCUAGUUGGUGAGGUAACGGCUCACCAAGGCAACGAUGCAUAGCCGACCUGAGAGGGUGAUCGGCCACACUGGGACUGAGACACGGCCCAGACUCCUACGGGAGGCAGCAGUAGGGAAUCUUCCGCAAUGGACGAAAGUCUGACGGAGCAACGCCGCGUGAGUGAUGAAGGCUUUCGGGUCGUAAAACUCUGUUGUUAGGGAAGAACAAGUACGAGAGUAACUGCUCGUACCUUGACGGUACCUAACCAGAAAGCCACGGCUAACUACGUGCCAGCAGCCGCGGUAAUACGUAAG